GUCUCAUACAACGGAGUCGGGUACUGGGUCUUGCAAAAUGUCAAGUGCAGAAGGUAGUCCAACUUUUGUUGGGACUCCCCUUGCUGAUGAUGAUAAUGAGAAGGUAGUCCAAGAAGGAAAAACCGCAAACCGCACCGCACCAAACCGUAUAUUGCGGUGCGGUUUG